AGCCUUCCAUGAAGGAAGAAACAUUAAUAAUUACACAUAAAUUAAUAUUUUAUAUAUUUUAAAUCUAUCUAGCUUUGAGCCAAAUUAAUUAAAAUGGCCUCCUUUAAGCAAGUUUUUCUCUUCACUGCUCUCUUUAUUGCAAUUUCAGGCAAUCUCUCUUUGGGUCCUAAAAAGAUGCAAGUGAUGGCAUUACGAGACUUGUCCACUGAUGUUGCAGAGAUGAAAGGGAAAUUAUUUCGACUUGAAGACAUAACUACUUGUGGGAAACAAUGCAAGGUCCGUACUGAUUGUCAAGAAGGUUUUAUCUGUUCAAACUGUAUCACAUUUGGGUCGUUUUCACAAUGCGUAUAAUAAGCGUGUUGUUACUGGUGAAGUAUCCUUGGAGCGUGCAGAUUAUAAUUACUCCGCACAAAGAAUGGAUGUAACUACUAUUAUAUGCUUGAUAUGCCUUUGUGUAUAUUCAAACAAUUUAAAUAAUGUUGUGUUUCCAAGUUUGUAUAAUAAGAAAAUAAAUAUGUAACCUAGCUAGUUUCCCAAAUAUUGGGAAACUAUCUACCUAUCGUAAUAUAUGAGUUACAACUUAAAUAAAUAUAUAUUGUUUACUUGUCUUCA